UAAAUCAGUCUGCCUAAUCCACUAUAUUCCCAACAAAGAUUUGUAAAGGGUAAACCGGAGCGGAGGAACCAAAUCUGGGGCGUAUUUUGAAGAAAGUUAAUAGUUAAUAGUGAGGAGUUAAAAGUUACUAAACUCAUAACUCAUAACUUUCUUAAGAAGGACAUCUCUCAGUCCUAGCCCGUCAGCUAACUUCGUCGGCAUUGAGAAGAGACUGA
rnacentral:sRNA from 2 species